rnacentral:rRNA from 1 species
GAUGAACGCUGGCGGCGUGCCUAAUACAUGCAAGUCGAGCGAACAGACGAGGAGCUUGCUCCUCUGACGUUAGCGGCGGACGGGUGAGUAACACGUGGAUAACCUACCUCUAAGACUGGGAUACCUUCGGGAAACCGGAGCUAAUACCGGAUAAUAUAUUGAACCGCAUGGUUCAAUAGUGAAAGACGGUUUUGCUGUCACUUAUAGAUGGAUCCGCGCCGCAUUAGCUAGUUGGUAAGGUAACGGCUUACCAAGGCGACGAUGCGUAGCCGACCUGAGAGGGUGAACGGCCACACUGGAAGUGAGACACGGUCCAGACUCCUACGGGAGGCAGCAGUAGGGAAUCUUCCGCAAUGGGCGAAAGCUGGACGGAGCAACGCCGCGUGAGUGAUGAAGGUCUUCGGAUCGUAAAACUCUGUUAUUAGGGAAGAACAAAUGUGUAAGUAACUAUGCACGUCUUGACGGUACCUAAUCAGAAAGCCACGGCUAACUACGUG